CAUGCACUCUAUGGCUUAUGUCAGAGCUAAGUCAUUCGGGACGCCAAGGGUUCAGAAGGCUCUUGGGAGAUGAUUCCUUUGAAGGAAAAAACCCACCCGCCCUGGUUGAAGAGGAGGACUGCUCUGCCUCUGAUGGAUGGCGCCAGAUCUUUCCCGCCAAAGAUUUUAAACAUCUUUACUGAACGUUGGAAA